rnacentral:rRNA from 1 species
AUUGAACGCUGGCGGCAGGCCUAACACAUGCCAGCCGAGCGGAUGAAGGGAGCUUGCUCCUGGAUUCAGCGGCGGACGGGUGAGUAAUGCCUAGGAAUCUGCCUGGUAGUGGGGGAUAACGUCCGGAAACGGGCGCUAAUACCGCAUACGUCCUGAGGGAGAAAGUGGGGGAUCUUCGGACCUCACGCUAUCAGAUGAGCCUAGGUCGGAUUAGCUAGUUGGUGGGGUAAAGGCCUACCAAGGCGACGAUCCGUAACUGGUCUGAGAGGAUGAUCAGUCACACUGGAACUGAGACACGGUCCAGACUCCUACGGGAGGCAGCAGUGGGGAAUAUUGGACAAUGGGCGAAAGCCUGAUCCAGCCAUGCCGCGUGUGUGAAGAAGGUCUUCGGAUUGUAAAGCACUUUAAGUUGGGAGGAAGGGCAGUAAGUUAAUACCUUGCUGUUUUGACGUUACCAACAGAAUAAGCACCGGCUAACUUCGUG